GAUGAACGCUGGCGGCGCGCCUAACACAUGCAAGUCGAACGAUUAAAGCACCUUCGGGUGUGUAUAAAGUGGCGAACGGCUGAGUAACACGUGGGCAACCUGCCCCUUUCAUUGGGAUAGCCACGGGAAACCGUGGAUAAUACCGAAUACUUCGAGACUUCCGCAUGGAAGACUCGAGAAAGCUCCGGCGGGGAGGGAUGGGCCCGCGGCCUGUUAGCUUGUUGGUGGGGUAACGGCCUACCAAGGCAAUGCUGGGUAGCUGGGUUGAGAGACCGACCAGCCAGAUUGGGACUGAGACACGGCCCAGACUCCUACGGGAGGCAGCAGUGGGGAAUCUUGCACAAUGGGCGAAAGCCUGAUGCAGCGACGCCGCGUGCGGGAUGAAGGCCUUCGGGUUGUAAACCGCUUUCAGCAGGGACGAGGCGAAAGUGACGGUACCUGCAGAAGAAGCCCCGGCUAACUACGUG
rnacentral:rRNA from 1 species